UACGAAGGGGGCUAGCGUUGCUCGGAAUCACUGGGCGUAAAGCGCACGUAGGCGGCUUCUUAAGUCAGGGGUGAAAUCCUGGAGCUCAACUCCAGAACUGCCUUUGAUACUGGGAAGCUUGAGUUCGGGAGAGGUGAGUGGAACUGCGAGUGUAGAGGUGACAUUCGUAGAUAUUCGCAAGAACACCAGUGGCGAAGGCGGCUCACUGGCCCGAUACUGACGCUGAGGUGCGAAAGCGUGGGGAGCAAACAGG
rnacentral:rRNA from 1 species